UACGGGGGGAGCAAGCGUUGUUCGGAUUUACUGGGCGUAAAGGGCGCGUAGGCGGCCACCGCAAGUCGACUGUGAAAUCUCCGGGCUUAACCCGGAAAGGUCAGCCGAUACUGCGGGGCUAGAGUGCAGAAGGGGCAACUGGAAUUCUCGGUGUAGCGGUGAAAUGCGUAGAUAUCGAGAGGAACACCUGCGGCGAAGGCGGGUUGCUGGGCUGACACCGACGCUGAGGCGCGAAAGCUAGGGGAGCGAACGGG
rnacentral:rRNA from 1 species